GACGAACCGAGCGAACGUUGUUCGGAAUCACUGGGCUUAAAGGGCGCGUAGGCGGGUGCUCAAGUCCGGGGUGAAAUCCCACAGCUCAACUGUGGAAUUGCCUCGGAUACUGGGUGGUCUCGAGGGUGGUAGGGGUAUGCGGAACUAUCGGUGGAGCGGUGAAAUGCGUUGAUAUCGAUAGGAACUCCGGUGGCGAAGGCGGCAUACUGGACCACUUCUGACGCUGAGGCGCGAAAGCCAGGGAGCGAACGGG
rnacentral:rRNA from 1 species